CGAGGAUGAAGAGGGGAAGGGAGACAUUAGGGGAGGUCUGCUCAGCUGUGGACCUGCAGAAGGAAGGAAGGAUCCGCGAUAACCUCCACCAUGGCCUGGUCUCCUCUCCUCCUCAUCCUCCUCGCUCACUGCACAGUGUCCUGGGCCCAGUCUAGGUUGACUCAGCCGCCCUCAGUGUCUGGUUCUCUGGGCCAGAGGGUCACCAUCUCCUGCGCUGGAAGCAGCUCUAAUAUUGGUGGUUAUGGUGUGAACUGGCACCAACAAUUCCCAGGAAUGGCCCCCAAAACCAUCAUCUAUAGUGAUAACAAUCGACCCUCCGGGGUCCCAGAUCGAUUCUCCGGCUCCAGGUCUGGCAACACAGGCACCCUGACCAUCACUGGGCUCCAGGCUGAGGACGAGGCUGAUUAUUACUGCUCAUCGUGGUACAGCAGUGGCACAGACCAUUCUUAGACAAAGAGUCUUCAU